rnacentral:rRNA from 1 species
AGUGGCGGACGGGUGAGUAACGCGUAAGAAUCUAACUUCAGGACGGGGACAACAGUUGGAAACGACUGCUAAUACCCGAUAUGCCGCGAGGUGAAACCUAAUUGGCCUGAAGAAGAGCUUGCGUCUGAUUAGCUAGUUGGUGGGGUAAGAGCCUACCAAGGCGACGAUCAGUAGCUGGUCUGAGAGGAUGAGCAGCCACACUGGGACUGAGACACGGCCCAGACUCCUACGGGAGGCAGCAGUGGGGAAUUUUCCGCAAUGGGCGAAAGCCUGACGGAGCAACGCCGCGUGAGGGAGGAAGGUCUUUGGAUUGUAAACCUCUUUUCUCAAGGAAGAAGUUCUGACGGUACUUGAGGAAUCAGCCUCGGCUAACUCCGUGCCAGCAGCCGCGGUAAUACGGGGGAGGCAAGCGUUAUCCGGAAUUAUUGGGCGUAGAGCGUCCGCAGGUGGUCAGCCAAGUCUGCCGUCAAAUCAGGUUGCUUAACGACCUAAAGGCGGUGGAAACUGGCAGACUAGAGAGCAGUAGGGGUAGCAGGAAUUCCCAGUGUAGCGGUGAAAUGCGUAGAGAUUGGGAAGAACAUCGGUGGCGAAAGCGUGCUACUGGGCUGUAUCUGACACUCAGGGACGAAAGCUAGGGGAGCGAAAGGGAUUAGAUACCCCUGUAGUCCUAGCCGUAAACGAUGGAUACUAGGCGUGGCUU